rnacentral:rRNA from 1 species
GCGUUGUUCGGAAUUACUGGGUGUAAAGGGUUCGUAGGCGGUGCGGCAAGUUGGGAGUGAAAUCUCUGGGCUUAACCCAGAGGCUGCUUCCAAAACUGCUGUGCUUGAGUGUGGGAGAGGCGCGUGGAAUUGCAGGUGUAGCGGUGAAAUGCGUAGAUAUCUGCAGGAACACCCGUGGCGAAAGCGGCGCGCUGGACCACGACUGACGCUGAGACGCGAAAGCGUGGGGAGCGAACAGG